CGUUCUUAAAAAUAGUUUUUUACCCACCCCUAAAGACUCUUUUUGCAGUAGUGUCUCCUCCCUGAGGGAACCAGCAGCUUACAGUUCAUGGUUGCAAUAAGCUUAGGUCAACUGUCAUGUCUCCUAAAGGAGUUUCUUUUGAUCCAAGGUUUAAGCUUGCAUUCAUCGACUUCCAUCUGAAACAAGCAUUUGGGAGUGUAGCUGAGAAUUUGCAGAUUAAUCAUCUUCAUUGUUGCAGUCUCAAAAAUCAGCUUCUGAAGAUCACCCUUUCCACAGAGGGAUAGUGAAAGCAGUAGGAAUUUGCGUUAAAAAAAAUAGUAGGAACAAUGUUGUCAUUUUCUUUCGUGGAGCAAGAUGACCCAUUGAGGCUAUCAGGGAAAACACCUAAUGAAACAAGGGUAGAACUACUCUGGUGGCCUUUGGGUUCUUGCUUGGACUGGGCGAGACCAAAUAAUGUUGCUCUAUGUACUAGUACUGUAUGCUUCGAUUAUCUUGUUUGACUUUGCUUCUAUAAAAUUAGAUAUAGGGAAUUUGGCUAACAUAUCUCUAUUUGGAUGUGCUGCAAGUCUGCUACUGAGCACCUAUGCCGUUGUUUGCAUAUAGUUUUCCAAGAUCUCGUAUCACUGUUUAA